rnacentral:rRNA from 1 species
UACGUAGGGGGCAAGCGUUGUCCGGAAUCAUUGGGCGUAAAGAGCGUGUAGGCGGCCCGAUAAGUCCGCCGUGAAAGUCCAGGGCUCAACCCUGGAAUGCCGGUGGAAACUGUCGGGCUGGAGUCCGGAAGAGGCGAGUGGAAUUCCUGGUGUAGCGGUGAAAUGCGCAGAUAUCAGGAAGAACACCCGUGGCGAAGGCGGUUCUCUGGGACGGUACUGACGCUGAGACGCGAAAGCGUGGGGAGCGAACAGG